UACGUAGGGGGCUAGCGUUGUCCGGAAUCAUUGGGCGUAAAGCGCGUGUAGGCGGUCCGGUAAGUCCGCUGUGAAAGGCGGGGGCUCAACCCUCGGAUGCCGGUGGAUACUGUCGGGCUUGAGUACGGAAGAGGCGAGUGGAAUUCCUGGUGUAGCGGUGAAAUGUGCAGAUAUCAGGAGGAACACCAAUUGCGAAGGCAGCUCGCUGGGACGUUACUGACGCUGAGACGCGAAAGCGUGGGGAGCAAACAGG
rnacentral:rRNA from 1 species